CCUACGGGAGGCUGCAGUCGAGAAUCUUCGGCAAUGAGCGCAAGCUUGACCGAGCGACGCCGCGUGCGGGAUGAAGGCCUUCGGGUUGUAAACCGCUGUCAGUGGGGAGGAAAUUCGGGGGGGUUCUCCCCUUCGAUUGACCGAUCCGCAGAGGAAGGACGGGCUAAGUUCGUGCCAGCAGCCGCGGUAAGACGAACCGUCCGAACGUUAUUCGGAAUCACUGGGCUUAAAGAGUGCGUAGGCGGCUUAUCAGGCGGGAUGUGAAAUCCCUCGGCCCAACCGAGGAACUGCGUUCCGAACCGAUAGGCUUGAGGAGGAUAGGGGCGAGCGGAACUGAUGGUGGAGCGGUGAAAUGCGUUGAUAUCAUCAGGAACACCUGUGGCGAAAGCGGCUCGCUGGGUCCUUACUGACGCUGAGGCACGAAAGCCAGGGGAGCGAAC
rnacentral:rRNA from 1 species